rnacentral:lncRNA from 1 species
CAUUUGGGGGGAUAUUUUGGAAUAGAGGGGGCUUCUUGGGCUCCUAAAAUUGUAACAGACUCAUUGAGGGCAAAACAUAUGUCUUUUCAACUCUACCUCCAAUGCUUACCAGGGUGCCUAGUGUGGAAUAUAGGAUAGUAAAUGCUCUGAUUUUUGAUGCAUUACACAGGGUUUGUGGGUGUCACCCAAGGCUAAAUUCUAGUAGACAACUUGAUUUGUUAUGUUAUCAUUGCUGAUAAGAAGCUUAGGAUGUAGGAAUUAGAUUUAAAAUAAAUCCAUCUAUACUGUAAGAGCAUUGUUUGAACUUAAAUCCAGGAAGGGACUAUUUCUAUUAUGCCCUCCCUGGAACAUACAAACCCAACCCCAUUUGGAGUGGGAAGAUGGUUUCACAAGGAAGAGAGAAGUGGGAAUGGCAGAUGGAGGAAAGCAGGAGAAUACACUCACCUUAUCAGCUGUCCUAAUACUGAUCCUGGGUGGGGUAGCAAGCAGUGGCUAAUACCCCAAAUCCAGGAGAAAUUCAACAGUAUCUUUCAGUAGAAUCAAAUAACAGAUAAUCUGUAUGGUCAGCUAGGUGGUCUAAGAACCUUCUUCUUUUCAACUUUAAUUAAAAUAAAUUCUUCUGAGUGGAGCUCCCACAGAAACAAUCACCAAAUAAAAUGUCCCAAGGAGAGGUGGGACUCUCAAAGUGUCUUUUAUUUGCUUGUUUGAAAAAAACCAUUGCAUUUUAUAGUCCAGCUCUGUGAGGAAUUUCAAUAUGAUUCAAGUGUUUUAAUAGGCUUAAAUGAAAUAAUUCUUAUUGCUGUGACUAGUUUUUAUUUGGAACUUUAUUAAAUACUCUAGAAUAUAAAUGGAACAAUUUCUGUUUAAGAGUGUCUUGGUUGCCAUGAAGGUGUAGCAAGAGGAUUCAAAGAAAUUUUUGUGUUUCAUGAGAGUAAUUUUGGGACCCCAUCCAUACCUUCACACAAAAUUAUGGCUACUAGCCUGUACAGUAUUCUUUGUAUCUUCUAACAUAUGGCAAGACAUCUGAUUUAGAGUCAAAGAGUGUUACAUUUUAGAUAAGGUAGCCAAAUGUAUAAACACAUUGUUUCCGUAAAUUUCACCCUGCCUUGUUAUUCGGGCACCUGCUGUUCAGAGAAAGAGGAAAGCUGAAGGAAAUCAAACUCAGCACAAAAUAGAGCAGCCCUUGAAUGGUAACUGCUGGGAUGUACAAAGAGGAGACUCAAAAUGGAAAAACAAAAUGCAUUUAUUUUAAAAGAUGGGGGAAGAGCUUCUUUUCAAUAGGAUAUUAUAUUUAAUUGACAAACAAUAAGGUGAAGUGAAAUUUGAGGGGAAAAACAAAAGAGUUUUAAUUUAUUUUAGUUCACAGACUCUUAAAGCUGGAAUGAAUUUUAUAGACUCCCAAUGCUGUCAUUUUACAGCUAAGGAAAAUAAGGCUGAGAGAGGUUGGUACCUGCAAUUCAAGCGACUCUCAUGUUUGCUGGUAGAAUUCUCUCUAGAACUAUCAUUUCUUUUACAAACUAAAUGCCCACUUUAUCAACAAAAGGCUCACUUCAUUUAUUUAUUUAUGUGUUUUUUCUUCCUGGAGGAAAGAUACAAUAAUAAUAUUCAUGAAACAGUUGAGUAGUUUUUGGAAGAAUGGCAUGUGGAAAUUGGAGCUGUUUUUUGAGCCACAAGAGGCUAAGUGGACGCUGAGCCUCCAAGUCUUAGCCUCUGUGGGCAGAGGGCUCUUUCCUGGUACCAUCCAUGGUACCAGGGACAAGGGGUGCUGCUGAUCUCUCCAAAGACUUCAUAAUCCAAUUCCCCUCUCACCUUCCAGUCAUAGACUCUAAAGGCCUUGCUGGGAUGCUGGAGAUUCUUGCAGAAUAAGCUGGUAGUGGAAACCCUUCUGAAAAUACUCUUGAGUGUCAGAGGUUGCGGAUUCUGUUCAGCAUCCACCUGUGGAACUUGGGUUGAGUUCCUGGAGUCUGGGGGCUCCUGUCCCUGGGGUGGCUGGGUCACUGAGGAGUCGCAGGCAUGGAGUCAAGCCAGUGAAUUUUGAGUCUGCAAGGCAACCAUCCUUGUGAUCAUGAAUGCACACUGAAGUCUGCAUCUCUUUCAUUGUGACGGAAACAGACAUCUGGCACAUAAAGUUCCCAGGAAUGGCCUUCUCUGCCAAACACAGAGGCGUUAAACGGGACUUUUGCAUUAGUUUCCCUCCAGAUUCCUGAAGAUAUUUCUUUGACUCAGUGUAGAAGCUGAUAGCACUAAUUUUUUCUCGGUUAUCUAAUUUGUAGACUUGGAAUUAAGAACAUUCAGAAUCCUCUUGGAUCACUCACACAAUGAGAUGAUUGGCCAUUUCUCUGAAAACAAAGAACAUUAAUUAUUAGUCACUAUAUAAAUAAGGUGUUUUUUUUUUUUUUUUGGUCUUUUUUUUAGGGCUACACCUAAGGCAUAUGGAAGUUCCCAGGCUAGGGGUCGAAUUGGAGCUGCAGCUGCUGGCCUAUGCCACAGCCACCUCAAAGCAGGAUCCGAGCCACACCUGCAACCUACACCACAGCUCACAGCAGUGCCUGAUCCUUAACCCACUGAGCGAGGUCGGAGAUGGAGCCUGUGUCCUCAUGAAUGCUAAUCAGAUUUGUUUCCACUGAGCCACGACAGGAACUCCAUAAGUAAGUUUUUAAUAUUGGCUCUACUAAUUUUCCCAGCCUUCUUUCUGAAUACCAAUCCUGGCUUGAUUGCUGUUGUUAAGAUACACAAUGGGCUAUCACAAUUCACAAUACUCAGACAAAGAAAGGGGAGGGAGGUGCUUGGGCAGAGCUGCCAUCAGCUAGCCUGGAGGUCAAGGUUCUGUGGAGGAGUGGAGCUUACUGAUUUUUAAAAAACGUAUUGGAGUUCCCGUCGUGGCGCAGUGGUUAACGAAUCCGACUAGGAACCAUGAGGUUGCGGGUUCGGUCCCUGCCCUUGCUCAGUGGGUUAAGGAUCCGGCGUUGCUGUGAGCUGUGGUGUAGGUUGCAGAUGCGGCUCGGAUCCCGCGUUGCUGUGGCUCUGGCGUAGGCUGGUGGCUACAGCUCCGAUUCAACCCCUAGCCUGGGAACCUCCAUAUGCCGUGGGGGCGGCCCAGGAAAUAGCAACAACAACAACAAAAAGACAAAAAGACAAAAAAAAAAAAAAAGAAAAAUAAAAAACGUAUUAAGAUAGGAAUUGUCUUGUGGCAUAGCGGGUUAAGGAUCCGAUGUGGUCGCUGCAGCAGCUUGGGUCGCUGCUGUGGUGUGGGUUUGAUCCCUCACUCAGGAACCUCCAUUGCUGCAGUUGUGGGUAAAAAAAAAAUUUUUUUAAUUGAGGUAUACUUAAUAAACAAAGAGUUGCAUGUAUUGUAUACGUUUUGAUGAGCUUGGACUGAUGCAUACACCUGUGAUAACCAUUACCCUAUACAGGGAAACAAACAUAUCCACCAGCUCCAAAGGCACUCUUGUGUUCCUUUGCUUUCUUAUUCUCUGUGGAAAGAACACAUCGCAUGAGCUCUACUGCAUGGGCAAGUUUUAAGUGCAUAAUACUGAAUUGUUAACUAUAUGCUCUAAGGUUUUACAUAAGAAGAAGAAGUUCUAGAGAGCUGCUGUACAACUUAGAGUUGUAUAAUUUUUAAAGAUGUGAUUAUUCAGUGCAGGGUGUUUUGAUUAGGUGGGUUGAUCCAAGCAUAGCAUUCUAGGAGGAAAAGAACAUUAAGUGUUGUGGCCUUAAAUUAAAAAAAAAAAAAUCACAGAGGAAAUUGGCAAGAAUCUUAGAUUAAAAACAAAAACCAACCGCCAUAACGAAAAAGAUUGUUGCAUAGAAUAUAAAUUAUAGCAAAAAAUAAUAUCAUUUAUAGUUUCAUUUACAGCAUAAGUACUUGAAAAGUGAUAUUAAUGUUUUUUGAUAUUUCCACAAGCCCUUUCUAGCAAAGAAUUUAAAAAAUGUACUUGCAUGAUGUUCUUCGUUCAUUCAGCUUCUUUCACUGAAUGCUUACAAUAGGGCACAAACGGUGUGACUCUACAGUGAGUUAAAGAAGAGCUUUAAAUGUUGGGAAAAAAAAGCAAAAAACCCAACACUCUGGCAGGGUAGAGAGAGAAAAUAAUCAAGCACAUAAUAUGCUCCCAGGCACUGAGAAGUGUUAUAAAGGCAGAUAAAGGGAUGGUCCUCGUCUAUUUGAGAUAGGCCGGUUGUCAAAGUCCUCCCUGAGGAAGUGACUUUGGAGCAGAGACCUAAAUUAGGUGAAGGAGGGAGCCCCGUGGAGUUCUAGGGGAAGAGUAUUCCAGAUACAAGGGACAACAAUGAGAAAAGGAAGCUUUUUUUUUUUUUUUUGAGAUAGGAAGGAGGGUGUCAUGUACCCAGAACAGAAAGAGGAGAAAAUGGAGAAGGUGAGAGCAGAAGGAUAGAAAAGAACCCUCCAGGCCAUGGGUUUUGCUCUGAAUGUAAAGAGAAGCUUAGAUUUUUGUGUCAACAUUGCUAGUCUAUGGUGCUGAAUGAUUUGGUCAAACACUAGUCUAGAUGUUGCUGUGAAGGUAGUUUUUUAGAUGGGAUUAAUAUUUGAAUCCUGUAGACUUGGAGUAAAGCAGAUUGCUCUCCAGGAUGUGGGUGGGCCUCAUCCAAUCAGUUGAAGGGCUUAAGAAAAAAAGAUUGAGGUUCCCCAAAGAGGAAGGGGCUAUUCUUCCAGACUGAAGCAUAGAAAUUCUCGCUGAGCUUCCAACCUUCAGACUCAAGAGUACAACACCAACUCUUGCCAGAAAUUCCAGCCCACUGGCCUACCCUGCAGAUUCUGGAUGUGCCAGCCUCCACAACUGCAUCGGCCAAUUGCUUAAAAUAACUCUCUCUCCCUCUCGUUCUCUCUCUCUCUAUAUAUACAUACUAUUGGUUCUGUUUCUCAGGAGAACCUUGACUAAUAAGGAAACCAUCCAACUUAUUUGAGCAAGAGCAUGAUAUGAUCUGAUUUCCAUUUCAAAAAUCAUUCCUACUUCAGGGAGGGAGAAAUGACUCUUGGCAGCCAGUGGGGAAGCAGGCUGUCCUGGUUCUGUAGGUGAGACCUGACAGCAGCCUGGAAGUGAUUGGAGGUCGCUGGUUUUGAAAAAUAUUUUGCAGGAUUUUCAGACAGAUCAGAUGAAGGGUGAGAGAGAAACAGAUAAAUCCAGGCCUACGUGUUGGGCCUGAACAGCUGUGUGAAUGGUGUGCUAUUUAUAAAGACAGUUCUGAAGCCUGAGUGAAGAACAGGUGUGCAGAGGUGGUGGAAAAGGAGGGGAAGGAAGAUGUAUUAAGGAUCCAGAGUUUUAUUUUGAGCACGUUAAUUUCAUGCAGCCCAUUUGCUGUCCAGUGGAAACGGCAUAGGACUGUUAGAUGCAGACACACACUGCUGUACAGGGUAGUUAAAGGCACAGUCUCUGGAGCCAGAAUGUCUGGAUCCAAAUCCCAAAGCCACUCUUGAGAGUGAAUUUCACUGUCUUGGUCUUUUAAUGUGAAAGAACAGGAUGAUGUACAUACCCUGUUAAUAUGACAUGAGGAUGAAAUUAAUCAACAUAGCAAGCUCUUAGAACGAGCCUAGACAAUCAUAGAAAAAGUUAUGUAAGUAUUAGCUAUUGUUACAGAGUUGUAUCUUUCUGGCCCAUCAGAUAAAUACCUAGAUUGAAGCAGGGGCUGGGGAGUGUUUCCCAAGCAUCCUGCUUUGCAUUUUUUUUUUUUUUCUUUUUCUCUUGGCCACACCCACAGCAGAUGGAAAUUCUUGGGCCAGUGAUCAAACCUGUGCCACAGCAGUGACCUGAUUCGUUGCAAUGACAGUGCCGCUGGGUACUUAAGAUGCUGUGCCACAAGGGAACUCCUUGCAUCGUUUUUGAUUACUAGCUCAAAGAGGUCAAAACACAAACAGGAACUGGGUGAAGCCAAGUGUUUUGUCUUCCCUUUUCCUGGACAGUGAGCAUUUUUGGAAUGACAUUAUCAUUCGAUCACUGGAUCCAUUGCAUCAUGGAAUGAUUACAAAAUCAGCUUGUCUGAGGCAGCCCCAUUUCCCCCAAAUACCUCCUUGUCUUGACUGCAUUGUGUAUAUCACCUUCUUAUAUACUAUAUGUGACACGUUUAUUUAUUUUCUGUCUUCUCUUGGUAGAAUGAAAGCUCUAGGAAGGUAGAGAUUUUUGACCAUCUUUGGUCACUUUAGCGCUUGGAAGAAUGCCAAGCUCAUUCCUUACAGGAGGAAUGAAUGGUAUUUCCUAGUGUUUGUUGUUCUCUUUGUUUAAUUCUACUUCUUCAAAUAUUUUCUCAUGCCAAAAGCACAUCAAAAAGAAGGUUGCACAUUAAUAUGAUUCUCUGGACCUUCUAACUUGUAUGGAAGGUCAGUAUUCAUUGAGACAAACCUCAUCUAUGAAAUGGAAUUUCAGAGGAGGCCUCUGACGGCAGUUUCAGUUUUGACUUUGGCAAUCAAUUCUGGAAUUGACAUAUGGUGUCCUAAAAGGGGUGAUACUUGUCUGCUGUUGGCUGUGCACUCUGUUUCCCUGCCAGGCUAAGUGCGGCGGUAAUCCACUCCAACUGCGGAUUCCGAUCACAGAUCUGUGCUCAGCAGAGAUUGCUGAUGAGCUGCAUUGAGAGCUCUGCUGGGUGGAGGCUGAUACAUGACCAAGUCAAUCUAUGACUUAUGAGACUUAUUGUACAUCUAAGGCACCGUAUUUAUUCUGCAGAAUGGACUGGAAACUGACCUUCGUCUCACAGACCCUCUAACUUGCUCCUCAUCUGUUUAUUCCCAAUGGAACCUUUGCAUCAUCCAGCUUUGUUCCCAAAUCAUUAACUUUUAUUUCCCUUUACAUUCCGUUGUGAUUUUACCCUAUGUAUGAAGAGCAGACAAAUGGAUGUCUUUAGUUAGCACAAAAGCAUAGGUCCUGUUUCAGUGUCAGCUUUUCAGAUGCAGUUAAUUUUAUCUUCUCUCACCACAUGGUUUUAAUAUAUAGAUUCUAUUUCCUUGGCUAAACAGGCAUUGUGUCAAAAUAAAUUUCAUUUGACUCUUACACUACUUGUGUCAGCACUUAUUAAAAAUUACCCUCAGCACAUUGUAUUACAAGUAGUAUUUAAAAAUAUUUAAAAAUUAUCCAGAUCAGAUUAAUCCUAAUAUCAUAGGUGUUAUCUUAUUUCUCACUGUGGUUGUAUCAACCAGGACAUCAUAGCACAUAGCUGGAGUUCAGCAAAUGAUAGUUGAAGUGAGUUAAAUAUUAAUUCCUGAGGCUCUACAGGAAUGGGCAUUGCCAGUCUGCUGCUUUAAGGUUUUCCUUUUAUCUAUAGAAUGAAUGAUAGGUUGAAAUGAACUCCUCAUCAGCCAUUCUCUUUGUUCUUGAAAGUAGG